UACGGAGGGGGCUAGCGUUGUUCGGAUUUACUGGGCGUAAAGGGCGCGCAGGCGGCUCAUUUUGUCAGGCGUGAAAGCCCCGGGCUUAACCUGGGAACUGCGUUUGAUACGGAUGGGCUAGAGUUCGGGAGAGGAGAGUGGAAUUCCCAGUGUAGAGGUGAAAUUCGUAGAUAUUGGGAAGAACACCGGUGGCGAAGGCGGCUCUCUGGACCGAGACUGACGCUGAGGCGGCGAAAGCGUGGGGAGCAAACAGG
rnacentral:rRNA from 1 species